rnacentral:lncRNA from 1 species
GUUAUUUGAUUAUGAUUCGUAGCUUGUAUCAGGCUGCUCGAAUAGGAGAAGGAGAUGAGAUGAUCGACGGGAUGAAAUCUGCUGGAUUUGGUGAACAGCUUGGCAAGAAAGAAUAUUAUGGAUUUCUGAAGAUUUUGUGUGGGAUUGAAAGGGUUGAGCAUGCCAUGAGUGUUUUUAAGAAAAUGAAGGCUGAUGGGUGUGAGCCUGGCAUUAAGACUUAUGAUUUGUUAAUGGGGAAAUGGUGUGCUCAUAAUCGGCUAGAUCGAGCCAAUGCACUCUACAAUGA